CCUACGGGUGGCAGCAGUGAGGAAUAUUGGUCAAUGGGCGAGAGCCUGAACCAGCCAAGUCGCGUGAGGGAGUACUGCCCUAUGGGUUGUAAACCUCUUUUGUCGGGGAGCACAAGCCGGACGUGUCCGGAUGUGAGAGUACCCGUAGCAUAUGCAUCGGCUAACUCUGUGCAAGCAGCAGCGGUAAUACGGAGGAUGCGGUCGUUAUCCGGAUUUAUUGGGUUUAAAGGGUGCGCAGGCGGAUUGUUAAGUCAGCGGUCAAAUCGUGGGGCUCAACCCCAACCCGCCUUGGAUACUAGGGAUCUAGAGUGUGAGAGAGGUAUGCGGAAUGCGUGGUGAAGCGGUGAAAUGCAUAGAUAUCACGCAGAACCCCGAAUGCGAAGGCAGCAUACCGGUGCACAACUGACGCUGAGGCACGAAAGCGUGGGUAGCGAACAGGAUUAGAUACCCUAGUAGUC
rnacentral:rRNA from 1 species